rnacentral:rRNA from 1 species
AAGUUGUUAUUUUUGAUUGAAGUUGAUUCUGCUUUUUAUUAAUUGGUUGUAUUGAGUAAUAUUAAAUAUAAGUUU